AGGCAGCAGUGAGGAAUAUUGGACAAUGGAUGGAAAUCUGAUCCAGCCAUGCCGCGUGCAGGAAGACGGCCUUAUGGGUUGUAAACUGCUUUUAUACGGGAGCAAUAAGGGUUACGAGUAAUCCGAUGAGAGUACUGUAUGAAUAAGGAUCGGCUAACUCCGUGCCAGCAGCCGCGGUAAUACGGAGGAUCCGAGCGUUAUCCGGAAUUAUUGGGCGUAAAGGGUUCGCAGGCGGUCUGAUAAGUCAGAUGUGAAAGACUAUGGCUCAACCAUGGCAAGCAUUUGAAACUGUUAGACUUGAGUUAAGGAGAGGAAAGCAGAAUUCCUAGUGUAGCGGUGAAAUGCGUAGAUAUUAGGAGGAACACCAGUGGCGAAGGCGACUUUCUGGACUUAUACUGACGCUGAGGAACGAAAGCGUGGGGAGCAAACAGGAUUAGAUACCCUGGUAGUCCACGCUGUAAACGAUGAGUGCUAGGUGUCGGGGGUCAAACCUCGGUGCCGGAGUUAACGCACUAAGCACUCCGCCUGGGGAGUACGUACGCAAGUAUGAAACUCAAAGGAAUUGACGGGGACCCGCACACGCAGCGGAGCAUGUGGUUUAAUUCGAAGCAACGCGAAGAACCUUACCAGGGCUUGACAUGCCACUGACCGCGCUAGAGAUAGCGUUUUACCUUCGGGUACAGUGGACACAGGUGGUGCAUGGUUGUCGUCAGCUCGUGUCGUGAGAUGUUGGGUUAAGUCCCGCAACGAGCGCAACCCCUAUUUUUAGUUGCCAUCAUUAAGUUGGGCACUCUAGAGAGACUGCCGAUGAUAAAUCGGAGGAAGGUGGGGAGGACGUCAAAUCAUCAUGCCCUUUAUGCCCUGGGCUACACACGUGCUACAAUGGUCGGUACAACGAGGAGCAAGCUAGCGAUAGCAAGCAAAUCUCUUAAAGCCGAUCCCAGUUCGGAUUGCAGGCUGCAACUCGCCUGCAUGAAGUCGGAGUUGCUAGUAAUCGCGGAUCAGAAUGUCGCGGUGAAUGAGUUCCCGGGUCUUGUACACACCGCCCGUCA
rnacentral:rRNA from 1 species